rnacentral:ncRNA from 1 species
CGUUCUUAAUUGGUGGAGCGAUUUGUCUGGUUAAUUCCGAUAACGAACGAGACUUUAACCUGCUAAAUAGUAGACUGGUCCUCUGUGCUCGUUUAGGGCGCGGCUUCUAUUGCUUCUUUAUGGAGUAGUAUAUAUAUAUAUAUAUACCAGUUUGGCCUUAAGACCCAUUUAUUAGCCGAGGAAAUUCAUUUAUUUUUUACGUCACUUCUGAUUGCCAUCGAUUGAAAUUCUCAUUAGGCUACUUCUGAUUGAUACACCAAACAAAACAAGAUCAG